UGGGGAAUUUUGGACAAUGGGCGAAAGCCUGAUCCAGCAAUGCCGCGUGUGUGAAGAAGGCCUUCGGGUUGUAAAGCACUUUUGUCCGGAAAGAAAUCCUUGGCUCUAAUACAGUCGGGGGAUGACGGUACCGGAAGAAUAAGCACCGGCUAACUACGUGCCAGCAGCCGCGGUAAUACGUAGGGUGCAAGCGUUAAUCGGAAUUACUGGGCGUAAAGCGUGCGCAGGCGGUUUGCUAAGACCGAUGUGAAAUCCCCGGGCUCAACCUGGGAACUGCAUUGGUGACUGGCAGGCUAGAGUAUGGCAGAGGGGGGUAGAAUUCCACGUGUAGCAGUGAAAUGCGUAGAGAUGUGGAGGAAUACCGAUGGCGAAGGCAGCCCCCUGGGCCAGACUGACGCUCAUGCACGAAAGCGUGGGGAGCAAACAGGAUUAGAUACCCUGGUAGUCCACGCCCUAAACGAUGUCAACU
rnacentral:rRNA from 1 species